GCGCAGCAGGCGAGAAACCUUCGCAAUGCGGGAAACCGCGACGAGGGGACUCCCAGUGCCUACGCUCAGCGUAGGCUGUUCCCGAGCCUAGAAAGCUCGGGGAGUAAGGGCUGGGUAAGACGGGUGCCAGCCGCCGCGGUAAUACCCGCAGCCCGAGUGGUGGCCACUAUUAUUGGGCCUAAAGCGUCCGUAGCCGGCCCGGUAAAUGCCUGGGUAAAUCGUGAGGCCUAACCUCACGAAUUCCGGGUAGACUGCCGGGCUAGGGACC
rnacentral:rRNA from 1 species